GAUCAUGGCUCAGGACGAACGCUGGCGGCACGCUUAACACAUGCAAGUCGAACGAGAGAAGAGAAGCUGCUUUUCUGAUCUAGUGGCGGACGGGUGAGUAACACGUGAGCAAUCUGCCUUUCAGAGGGGGGAUACCGAUUGGAAACGAUCGUUAAUACCGCAUAAUAUAAUUGAACCGCAUGAUUUGAUUAUCAAAGAUUUAUCGCUGAAAGAUNAGCUCGCGU
rnacentral:rRNA from 1 species